rnacentral:lncRNA from 1 species
GUAAGUAAUCAUGAACAGAAUGUUAAUAGAAAUAUGAGUUAUAAGGGUCAUUCUAAUGAGGUAUCAAAUGGGAAUAAGCGAGAUGUUUUUAGAAAGCAGACGGAUAAUCUGUGAUAUAAAGUGCCAAAGAACUUGGCUGAACUGUGUUUGUGUAGUAAUGUUUUGUGGAAGGUAGAAUGUAUAACUUGUGAUAUUGAAUAUUUAACUCAAAGCAUUUCUAACCAAAAUGUUUACGGAAUGGUUUCAUUUCACCUGAAUGUUUACAAUAAAAUGAAAAAAGAGAUAAAUGAAUUGGAAAAGAAAUUGUUAAGCCAAAAAAACCCAGGACUUAAAUAUUUAAAACAUUCAAAGCAUAUAUACAUAUACACGUGUGUAUAUAUGUGUAUAUGUGUGUAUAUAUAUACACACACAUAAUGUGAAUGAGUGUUUGUUUGGAGGAGAACAGUAAUGGUGUGGCAAACCAACCAUUUGAUAAGGAGAUUAGUGUGGGGGUAAACCAGAAAUUCCCAGCUCUCUCAAUAGAAGCCCAGAAUAGAGAUAGCAUGAUUCCAGGAAAACACUAGGACUAAAGGAAACACGGAAAAUGAGAUGUAAUGAAGCAAGACUGUAAAUGUGUGCUCUUCUUCAAG